GUGUCCCACCACGUCCCCUCUCAGCCACGCGCAGCUGCAGCCACCUCGGAGGCAGUCAGCAAUGUUUGUUUAUCAAGGUAGAGAGAGCUGCAGCCGGCAGCAUUCUUACCGAAACAGGAGUACAGGGAGAAGAACUGGUUUCCAACCAGCAUACAGAUGAUCAGGGUUUCUACAUUUGCUGGAGUGGAACAAUAUACUGGAGUUACAGUGAUGCUGUCCUCACACUCUGGAAUGAAGAGGGCACUGAGCUCAGCUUUAAAGAAGGAGGAUGCAAAACACUUCCUGAGUCAUCGGCAGCAACAUUUUCUGGAUCUUCCCUGAAGAGACCUGUCUGUCCACACUCCAAUUUGUCCUGCGAAAUCUGGUGA
rnacentral:lncRNA from 1 species